AACAAGGCGUACCUGCGGACCUGCGGAGGGAUCAUUAUCCAUCCAAAACCAGCUGCGGUCGCGGCCCCACGCUUACCCGUGGCGGUACGCGCCGCACGUCUGCACCCUUUUUUUACGAGUACCUUCGUUCUCCCUCGGCAGGGCAACCUGCCGUUGGAACCAUACAAAACCUCUUUUUGCAUCUAGCAUUACCUGUUCUGAUACAAACAAUCGUUACAACUUUCAGCAACGGAUCUCAGA
rnacentral:misc_RNA from 1 species